CUGGCGGCAGGCCUAAUACAUGCAAGUCGAACGGCAGCACAGCAGAGCUUGCUCUGUGGGUGGCGAGUGGCGGACGGGUGAGGAAUACAUGGGAAUCUGCCCAGUCGUGGGGAUAACGUAGGGAAACUUACGCUAAUACCGCAUGCGCCCUUCGGGGAAAGCCGGGGACCUUCGGGCCUGGCGCGAUUGGAUGAGCCCAUGUCGGAUUAGCUAGUUGGCGGGGUAAUGGCCCACCAAGGCGACGAUCCGUAGCUGGUCUGAGAGGAUGAUCAGCCACACUGGAACUGAGACACGGUCCAGACUCCUACGGGAGGCAGCAGUAGGGAAUAUUGGACAAUGGGCGCAAGCCUGAUCCAGCCAUGCCGCGUGAGCGAAGAAGGCCCUCGGGUUGUAAAGCUCUUUUGUCCGGAAAGAAAAGCGCCGGGUUAAUACCCUAGUGUCCUGACGGUACCGGAAGAAUAAGCACCGGCUAACUUCGUG
rnacentral:rRNA from 1 species